ACUAGUCAUGGUCUGUUCACUAGAUUUUCACCCAAUAAAAAGUAAAAAAUAAAAGUCUAUUUUUAGAUUAAUAAUUUUUUAUCUUUUCAAUGACAUAAAAAUCAUGUAAUUUCAAAUUAUUAUGAGUCAAUUAUGAUAGAUUAAAGAUAGAAUGUUAAUAAUAGAAAAAUUAAGUGGAUAUUUUUUACCUCAAAGGUAAAUUGCUUGCAUACUUUUACUGUAUUUUGGUUAGACUUUAC
rnacentral:lncRNA from 1 species